ACCAAACAGUUUCGGAAACGACUGCUAAUACCGCAUGACACAUAGGUGUCGCAUGGCACUUAUGUCAAAGAUUUAUCGCUGAAAGAUGGCCUCGCGUCUGAUUAGCCUAGUUGGUGAGGUAACGGCUCACCAAGUCGACGAUCAUUAGCCGGACUGAGAGGUUGAACCGGCCACAUUGGGACUGAGACACGGCCCAGACUCCUACGGGAGGCCAGCAGUGAGGAAUAUUGGGCAAUGGGCGAAAGCCUGACCCAGCAACGCCGCGUGAAGGAAGACGGUUUUCGGAUUGUAAACUUCUUUUAAGAGGGACGAUAAUGACGGUACCUCUUGAAUAAGCCACGGCUAACUACGUG
rnacentral:rRNA from 1 species